UACGAAGGGGGCUAGCGUUGCUCGGAAUCACUGGGCGUAAAGCGCAUGUAGGCGGAUUGUUAAGUCAGGGGUGAAAUCCUGGAGCUCAACUCCAGAACUGCCUUUGAUACUGGCGAUCUCGAGUCCGGGAGAGGUGAGUGGAACUGCGAGUGUAGAGGUGAAAUUCGUAGAUAUUCGCAAGAACACCAGUGGCGAAGGCGGCUCACUGGCCCGGUACUGACGCUGAGGUGCGAAAGCCAGGGGAGCAAACGGG
rnacentral:rRNA from 1 species